AAGGACAUGUCUAGGUUAGGAAGGUUUCUCCCAGGGGACAGAAGGACAUGUCUAGGUUAGGAAGGUUUCUCCCAGGGGACAGAAGGACAUGUCUCAGUAUAUGAAUAUUCGCCCUACUUAAUCAGCCGUGUUCCGCACUCUAUUUCAGCGUUUAUAUUAAUAUUUGUUCCGCCUCUUGGCAUAUAUUCUGGAUAUAUCAGAUCAGUGAUCAUUUAUCACCCUGAAUACGUAAACACCAACACACACUGUCAUCCCUGAUCACUGCUGUCCUCUGGUGUGGCAGCCAGCUCUCAUAAAGCAGACAGUGUCUAGAAGAGUCACUACAACAACACAUUUCUAUUUAUGGUCCUGGAGACGAUCACUGGUUCUGUUGAUGGUUUGGAGGUCAAGGAAAUUAGACAUGAAAUGCACUGCAUUCCUCCUUUCCUCUCCCCCUCUGCCCCCUCCUUUCCUCUCCCCUUCCUCUCUCCUCUACCUCUCCCCUUCCCCUCCUCUCUCCUUCCCCUCCCCUUCCUCUCCUCUAGUGGGAGAAAGUGUCAGAUUGAAGUGUUGGCUGGUAAAUAAGUAUUUUUUGGUGGCGGGAUAGUCAUCCUCUCCCCUUCCCCUCGCCUCCUCUCUCCCCUUCCCCUCUCCCCUUCCCCCUUCCCCUCCUCUCCCCUUCCCCUCCUCUCCCCUUCCCCUCCUCCUCUCUCCUUCCCCUCCUCCCCUUCCCCUCCUCUCCCCUUCCCCUCCUCUCUCCUUCCCCCUCACCCCUUCCCUUCCCCUCCUCUCUCCCCUUCCCCUCCUCUCCCCUUCCCCUCCUCCCCCUUCCCCUCCUCUCCCCUUCCCCUCCUCUCUCCUUCCCUCCUCUCCCCUUCCCCUCUCCUCUCUCCUUCCCCUCCUCUCUCCUUCCCCUCCUCUCUCCUCUCUGUGGACAGGUGCUGGGUAGAGAGGGUGUCAGGCUGUCAGUUAAGAACUUCCGACCACAGAGAUUUAACAUCUGGCUACAAUUAAAAUCUGUCAUGAAGAGCACUCUUUCUCUCACUCUCUCCUUACUGCUGCUGCUGCUCGCUCUCUCUCCUCUCUCUCUGUUCUUACUGCCUCUCUCUUAUGGCCUCUCUCCCUCUUACUCUCUCCCUCUUACUCUCUUUCUCUCUUACUCUCUUUCUCUCUUUCUCUCCUGCACACUGGAAGAGUAGUUCAGUUUCAUGAUAUCCUGUUGUCAGUUUGACUGAAGACUGUGAGAAUAUGACUCCACCAGGUUGACUCUGUCAGUCAGGGUUGACUCCGUCAGUCAGGGUUGACUCCGUCAGUCAGGGUUGACUCCGUC
ensembl:lncRNA